UUUUAUUUUGUAUUUCAUUUAAAGUUUCUUAUUUUUUUCUUCCAAAAAAAUAAUUUUAAUUAAUAAAUUAUCUGAAGUCACACAGUGAUUCUAUGAAGGAAUUAAGUACGGAUUACACAGUGAUUCUGUGAAGGAAUUAAGUACGGUAAUACGGUUAUUACCAACACAAAUUUAAUAAAACAACUAGAUAUAUUGUCGUAUACGGUCGUUAAAGUAAAUAAAAACGAUAAAUUAAUUUUUAACUCACUGUCUAUUCUCGUUGUUGUGGUUCUUUUAACGACAAUAUUUCAUUUUUGGAUAGUAAACGGAACAAUCCUUAAUUUAUGUUAUAAUAUUAAAUUUUUAAUUGUAAGGUUGAAGUGAUUAGUGCAAUGAAUUGAAAGUGGAAAAAUUGAUCGGUAUCCAACUAAAAAAUAUCUUUCUAACCGCGAGAGCUCCAAUCUAUUGAAAAUCAAGAACUUUCAUCAUGAGUUUAGAAAAAAAUUUACGAAAACCGAUGUUUUUAUUGGAAAACCUUACGGAUGAUAUAAAUAGUAAUAAAUUAGCUACUGAUGAACAAGCUUUAAGGUUACUAUUUUAUUAUACUAAAAACGUGAAAAUAACAGUGUGCGAUGGAUGUAAAAUAACUAUUGAAAAAGUUAAAAAGUUUUGGAUAUUUGCUCGUAUUUUUAUUUUAGAUGACAAACGAUGUAUUUAAAAAUUGUAAAAAUUGCACGAUGAAUACAGAAAUCUGCAUAAAAAUGCAGGUGUGUCCUCAAACCAACAAAAAGAGCAAGAGUUUUCAAUUAAAUUAUAAAGUUUAUUUGACAUAGCUCACGGCAGAGUUUUUGAAAUGGUCAGCAAUGAUAUAAAAACUUUUUAAUCGAUCAACGAUCAGAAAGAUAAUUCCAUCUGAAUUUUUCGGACAAUCAACGAGGAAAUGUAAUUGAUUUAUCUGAAACAAGAUCAUGAUCGCCCUAAUGAAGUAUAAACUUCUGAUAAUCCACUUGUUGUAAAUGAUAAUCGGUCCAUCGAAGUGUUAACCUCUAAAAACAUUAAAGCAGCAUCUUGUUAUAUAGAACACCAGUUGAACGAUUCUGAAUUAUCAAGAGAAAAUUCAGAAAACUAUUUGCCAUUGCGUUUGACAAGCGCGGGUGGAUCAAUGUCUAGUGGGGAAGCAUUAACUUUUUCUUGAUGAUGAUUAUAUAAAAGGAUAAGAGAUUGCUAUCAAGAUUAAAGUUGUUAAUGAUGUAGCGGAGAGAGAGAGAGCUGUACAAUUGGCUCAAGAAUGUAUAAAUAUGGUAGCUAAAGAUGAGAAUCAAAAACAAUAUCUUCUCCAGGUGAUAAAAAAGUAUAAGAAUGAAUUUUCAAAUGCUACUAAGGAAUGCCUGACAACAAAAAUAAAAGUUCAAUAAUUAA